GGAAUCGGCUGCCUUUGCUGCCGUGACAACCAGUUUUCCUACUCUCACAUCUUACAGCUAGCAUCAAAGUGGGACGCAGCGGAACUACAUUUCCCAGCAGCCCUCGCGCGGGCUCUUGCCCUUCCGUGCAGCGGUCCCAAAACCUCAGUGCCACAGACGCCUGGAGGAGGCGAAAGGAAAGCUGGGCGCUGUGUGCGCGUCGGGGACCAGGAGACCCGUGGGGGCUGCCUCCAGCGAGCAAACGCUCAACAACCGAGCUACAUGCCCAGCCCAGGCCUGUGUGUUGAAGGUUGCUUUUCCAUGAGGCCCAACCCGGAAGGAUGGAGGUUUCAUGGAGAGAACAAGCAGAGAAUGGAGUCGUGCCUGCAGAUGAGGCUGCUGUUUCUGAGAGAGCCAUGCUUACCUGGUCCAAGUGGGGAAGGGCAGGCCCAGUGUUGGACCCUGUGACAUUGUCCUCCUGACUAGGCUCUUAGGUUCCAGGUGAGUCCUGUUUUACACCUCCCAGAAGAGAUGGAUGGGGGCAGGCAGGUGAAUGGGGUCAGGCCUUGCCAAGGCAGGGAGCCAGGAGUAUUGAGGGCACUGAGCUUGCCUCUGGAGGACUA
rnacentral:lncRNA from 1 species